rnacentral:tmRNA from 1 species
GGGGGCGCACCGGCUUCGACGGGAACACGUCGGGGUCAUGGUUGCAUGCCGAGCGGAUCACCUCGUUAAACCGAUCAAAACACGCAAUCGCGAACAGCGACUUUGCCCUCGCGGCUUAAUUGACCUCGAGCGCUCCUCCAUCACUCGCUCACGGUGAUGGAACGAGCGUCAUGAUGUGAGCUGGCGGCGCGCGCAACGCCUACGCGCGCGUCCGCGAGAUCAAGAGGCUGGUCCACGUCCGGUUCCCGCUCUCCGGACAGGCCGUGGACGAGAUCAAACGAAGAGCUAAGCAUGUAGGAGCCAGGCUGCCACUGUUUUCGGACGCGGGUUCGAUUCCCGCCGCCUCCAUCU